GAUGAACGCUGACAGAAUGCUUAACACAUGCAAGUCGAUGGGGAAGCGGCGCUUGCGCCGUGGCAACCAUGGCGGACGGGUGAGUAACGCGUAAAGAACUUGCCGGAUGGACCGGGAUAACAGCUGGAAACGGCUGGCAAGACCGGAUACUGUGGGCUGGCUGCAUGGCUGGCCCAUGAAAAGGGAUGCCGUCCGAGAGCUUUGCGUCCUAUUAGCUGGUUGGUAAGGUGACGGCUUACCAAGGCGAUGAUAGGUAGCCGGCCUGAGAGGGUGGACGGCCACAAGGGGACUGAGAUACGGCCCUUACUCCUACGGGAGGCAGCAGUGGGGAAUAUUGGACAAUGGGGGCAACCCUGAUCCAGCAAUUCUGUGUGCACGAAGAAGGUUCUCGGAUCGUAAAGUGCUUUCAGCAGGGAGGAAGGAAAGUGACU
rnacentral:rRNA from 1 species